rnacentral:rRNA from 1 species
AAUGAACGCUGGCGGCAUGCCUAAUACAUGCAAGUCGAGCGAACAGACGAGGAUCUUGCUCCUAUGCCGUUGGCGGCGGACGGGUGAGUAACACGUGGAUACCCUACAUAUAAGACUGACAUAACUUCGUGAAACCGAAGCUCAUAUCGGAUAAUAUAUAGAACCGCAUGGUUCAAUAGUGAAAGACGGUUUUGCUGUCACUUUUACAUGGAACCGCGCCGCAUUAGCUAGGUGGUAAGGUAACGGCUUACCAAGGCGACGAUGCGUAGCCGACCUGAGAGGGUGAUCGGCCACACUGGAACUGAGACACGGUCCAGACUCCUACGGGAGGCAGCAGUAGGGAAUCUUCCGCAAUGGGCGAAAGCCUGACGGAGCAACGCCGCGUGAGUGAUGAAGGUCUUCGGAUCGUAAAACUCUGUUAUUAGGGAAGAACAAAUGUGUAAGUAACUAUGCACGUCUUGACGGUACCUAAUCAGAAAGCCACGGCUAACUACGUG